CGGCCGGCCGUGGAGAAGACGGGCCGCCGCUCCUCUUACCUCCCAACCAUGCCGCUCCUACGUCGUCGACCUCGAAAUGGAAGCUGCGGAGUGCUCGUGGUUGCGCCUCCGGGGUAGAGAGGGGUCAGUGGCGGCGGUGGGCGGCCGCGUCGGAGCGGAAGCUGGAGGGCCGCCAGCCGUAGUGCCUCAGGGACGGCAUGCUCGUGCGGGGACGCUUGAGGCUUGUUGGCACCAAAUCGAGCCCUGCCGCGGCCGAAUUUGGGUUUGCCGGCACUAAAUCGAGCUCUACCACUGCUGGAUUGAGUAUCCCCGACACCGAAUCGAUCUCCGCCGCGCCGCAUCGAUCUCCAGACGGAGGGGGAUCACUAGGCGGCCGCGGCGGCGGCUCGGGAUGGGGCGGCCGGGGUACGUGACGGUGCCGAUACUCACCGUGAUCGCCGCAAUCGGGUACGCCUACUACACCACGGUGUUCCUCGCGAUCCCCGCGUGGCUGGGGCUCUCCACGGCCGCUGGGGGCGCCAACGCCGCGGCCUUCACCGCGCUCGCCGCCGCCUGCGUCACCACCUACGCCGUCGCCGUGUCGCGGGACCCGGGCCGCGUGCCGGCAUCCUUCGUGCCCGACGUCGAGGACGCCGAGAGCCCCAUCCACGAGAUCAAGCGAAAGGGUGGUGAUUUGAGAUACUGCCAAAAAUGUUCCCAUUAUAAACCUCCUCGAGCGCACCAUUGCCGUGUCUGCAAAAGAUGCGUUCUGAGAAUGGACCACCACUGUAUAUGGAUUAAUAACUGUGUUGGGCACGAGAACUACAAGAUCUUUCUAGUUUUCAUUUUGUAUGCUGUAAUUGCAUCCUUCUACUCUAUGGGGGUGCUAUGCAUUUGCCUAAAGAUGAACAACCAAGCAGUGAUUCUCCUAGGACAUCUAUUAUUGUUUGCGGGGUUCUUCUGUGUCCUUUAGCUUUGGCACUGAUGGUCCUAUUGGGUUGGCAUGUUUACCUCAUCUUACACAAUAAAACUACUAUUGAGUACCAUGAAGGAGUUAGAGCUAUGUGGUUGGCUGAAAAAGCGGGAAACCUUUAUCAUCAUCCUUAUAACCUUGGAGUCUAUGAGAACCUUGUUUCGGUACUAGGUCCUAAUAUGCUCUGCUGGCUUUGCCCAUUAUCAAGGAGCAUAGGAAAUGGUGUUCGUUUCCGCACAUCAUAUGACAUUCCGCCAUCAACAUCACCAAUAUAAUGCAAACCAGAUCACUACAAGUGGUAGAUGCCCUAUUCUUUUGCAGAGUGCUGCAAUGGGAAAAUGUGUUUAGGAUACUUCAAGAAACAAGAAGAGGAGCUUCGCUGUCCUUUAAACCUCGUGGGAUCAAUCGCUAAUUAGGAUUUAGGAAUUCUAACUUAGAUUUUUGUUGCAUUUUUGUUAGAUAAACUUGAUCAAAGAAGUCAUCAUUGCUUGUGCAGUAAUCUACAGCGGGUUGUACUAUAAUACCAAAACAAGAACAGUCUGAACUCGAGGCUGGUCUUGUUGUAAAGCUAUGUUAAACUGUUGUUUCUGAAGUUCAAUGUUCUUUUGUCGGAUCAUACAUCAUAGUGAGCGAUCAA